CUGGCCUUUCGAGAGCAGAGACAGAGAAGGCAGAGGGCAAAGCUGCCCCGGGAACAAGAGGAAAGGGGGCAGCAGAGGAAGUCCCAUCUAGGCAGGACACAAUGCGAGCUGCUGUUUCCUUGAGAGAAUUCUGACAGCAAGGCAUAGAAAUGCAAGCCAACACUGCUAGCUCUGGAGGAAAAAAAAAAAAAAAAUCCGUGCUCUAAACACCUCCACGGGGCCGAAGCCUGCCAGGGAAGAAGGCACACAGAGGAUGGACCCGCCGGCAACUUUUCCCCAGGCUUGGACCAGUGAUGCUCGGGACAUACCAAGAAUCCUCACCCUAGAGGCUGCAGUCAACUCCUACAGAAGCUGCCCCCUGCUCUGGCUGGUCAAACGGAACCAAGUCCGUCUUCCUGAGAGGUUUGGUCCCCUUCAACCAGCUACAGCAGGGCUGGCAAGGCCCAGUCCUUGGAGAAACCGAAGAGAUUCAUCUGUGGCUGAAGUCACCUACUAACGUUUCCCUGAAGAAAGCGACUCUGAUUUUGUUAUCACACUCUCAUGCUUCCAGGAAGGGAGAAAAGGGGAGCCGUGGGUUCAAAAGGGAGCCCGAUUUCCAUGCUCAACACACAGAGCUCUGUGCCUCUGUACCCACAACGAGACCCACUCCCAUGCUCUUGACACACAGUAAAGAUUUUAGGGUGAACUGUGGUUCAGCCCUGGGCCAGGCAAGGGAAGAACAUGAGCCCCAGAAGACAGGGCUCCUGCUCAAAGGGGCCGAGUCUAAGGAAAGCAAUUGGACAUAUGAAUAUGGCACAAUUCAAUGGAAUUGCAAGUCAUGGCAUGGCUGGCUCCAAGACAUAAUUGUUUUGCACAGCCCACCAAAUAUGUCCGGCACACUGUGUACUCUCAAGUCAGCCCAAAGAUAGCUAUUCACUAAGAAAUUCACAUGUAGCUCAGUUUCCCAUCAGCAGAAUGGAGAGAAUGAGAAUCACAGUACCCACCACAUAUGGUUUUCUGUGGAAUGGAAUGAGAAUACAUGUAAAGGAGUUAGAAAGAUCUCACUCGUUUUUACCUGCUGUUAAAGAAGGGAUUCUGACCUGCCUUCCAAUUCCUCUCUCAAAAUUUCUCUCUUUGACAGUGUUGCUCAGGGUGUGCCCAGGACUUAGCUGGGGUUACAUUUGCUGAUGGAAUUCCAGAAGCCUGUGUUCACAUGCUGUCCUCUGGCACAAAUGUGGUCUCCUGAUGUCCAGGGACCACAAAGUCUCCACCCAAGGAAGCUUGUUUGGUGCUUAUCUGCACGUGCCUAGGGCGUCAGGGAGACCAGGGGUUUGAAUCCUCCCCUUCUCGUUUAUUAGCUCUGAUGGAGCCUCCCUGGGCCUCAGUUAACACUGUGUUAACUGUGUAAAUCUUCAUUUCCUCAUCUGUAAAAUGGGGACAAUAACACUUAGGGCUGAUUUAAGGAUUUUUAAAGGUAACAUUUAUCAGGAGCCACAUACAAGCCCCCAAGAAAUGGCAGCUGGUGUUGUCUGGCUGCUUACAUAGCAACAGCUCAGAGAAAAUGUUGUGUCCAUGGGCACUCACAACUGGAAGAGAAAGACCAGAUUUAAAACAAAAAACAGAAAAACAAAAAAAAAAUCAAUAAAACCUCAUUACAGGAUAAUUUUAUAUUCCAACGAUUAAUUCUACUAUCAUGUAGCAUGCCUUGAUUCUGGUAUGUGUUACUAGUAUGUAAUAAGUUUUACUAAAUAGUAAAUGCUUCGUGUGUGAGUCUGAUCAUAUUACCUUCAAGAAAUAUCCUGCCUGGAAAGCAAGCCCUCAUUUGUGAACACUGUCAAGAAGCCAGUCUGAAACCACUGAGUACGUAAAGGCCAUAGUGUAUGGAGUUUAGACAUAGGCGCUGGAGCCAGACUGCCUGGGCUCAAAUCCCAGCACCCUCACAGUGGCAGCUGUGCCACUUUGGGCAAAUUGCUUGACCUCUCUGGGCCUGGGUUUCCUCAUAUGUAGAAUGGGGAUAUUAGUGAUAGUAUCUAACUCAUAAGGUUUGCAUGAGAAUGAAAUGAAAAUACAUGUAAAGGUAUACAACUAGUGCUGGGUGCGUAAUAAACUUUUAAAGCACUUUAUCUUUGACACUGUACCCGAAAUGUUCCUGAAACUAAGUUGGUGUUCAAUAAAAAUUUAUUUAAUAAAUGA